AGAAAGGAGCAGAUGGGGUGGAAGGCUCCUGUGCCACAGAUGUACAGGCACAGUCUCCUGGAACAUCAGACUCACUAUCGCCCUGCAUCAUUCAUCAUCAUCAGCGUCAACGUGCACCAUGGACACACUCGGGCGCACAAUGCUCUGAUUGACGGGCUGCUAUAGGAGCCAUCUGCGCCCACUCCCACUGUGUAAGAUCUUGGACAUCUGUGUCUACAAAAAAAAAAGAAG